rnacentral:tRNA from 1 species
AGGGGUGUAGCUCAACUGGUAGAGCGUUGGUCUCCAAAACCAAAGGUCGGGGGUUCGAUUCCUCUCACCCCUGCCA